rnacentral:rRNA from 1 species
CGGACCAAGAGACCGGCGCACGGGUGCGUAACGCGUAUGCAAUCUACCUUUGCAGAGGGAUAGCCCAGAGUAAAUUUGGAUUAAUACCUCAUAGUAUAGUACUUGGCAUCAAGGAACUAUUAAAGUCACAACGGCAAAAGAUGAGCAUGCGUCCCAUUAGCUAGUUAGUAAGGUAACGGCUUACCAAGGCUACGAUGGGUAGGGGUCCUGAGAGGGAGAUCCCCCACACUGGUACUGAGACACGGACCAGACUCCUACGGGAGGCAGCAGUGAGGAAUAUUGGACAAUGGGCGCAAGCCUGAUCCAGCCAUGCCGCGUGCAGGAUGACGGUCCUAUGGAUUGUAAACUGCUUUUAUACAGGAAGAAACACUCCGACGUGUCGGAGCUUGACGGUACUGUAAGAAUAAGGAUCGGCUAACUCCGUG